UACGUAGGGUGCAAGCGUUAAUCGGAAUUACUGGGCGUAAAGCGUGCGUAGGCGGCCUUCUAAGUCGAACGUGAAAUCCCCGGGCUCAACCCGGGAACUGCGUCCGAUACUGGAAGGCUUGAAUCCGGGAGAGGGAUGCGGAAUUCCAGGUGUAGCGGUGAAAUGCGUAGAUAUCUGGAGGAACACCGGUGGCGAAGGCGGCAUCCUGGACCGGCAUUGACGCUGAGGCGCGAAAGCCAGGGGAGCAAACGGG
rnacentral:rRNA from 1 species